CCGCCCCCUGUCUCUGUGCUUCCGGUCGUGCUCAAAUCCUUGUGAUUAUUCGCUGCCUGCUCUCAUCCGCGGACAUGUGGGUAGAUACUGAGAGUCUAAGUGAGAAGCGGCUGCCCUAUUGUUACAGAUUAGAAUAGACACAAGAAUCUACAGUAUCAGCACUACAGAGUGGUAAAAUAAUCUGGGCAGUAUCACUAUUGAGGCAGGCAUGAUGGCAGUUCUGGAGAAUGGCUGAUCAGUGCUUUCCAUGCCAUGUCCACAAAAACUACAAAAGCAGAAUGUAAGCAGGAGAUUAAAUGACAUGCACCAUAAAAAUGAACAGAGCUGGACUUUCAAGUCUGAUGUUGCCUUGCACAGGAAAGACAUGAAAAAGGGCAUCUGAUAUUUCUCAUCCAUUUCCUAAACAAAGCAACAGAACAGAUCAGAAGAGAUCCCUAUCUUUCUGUGGAACAUAUUCUCCCUAACUGUACAGUCAGAAAACUGACCAGCAGGUGAUGCUGUUGUUAAAAAUGGCAUACAUUAGUUUAAACAAAAAGUGAGUGGUGCUCCAGAAUAAAAAAUAAAUGGCUCACCAAGUUGAUUGUAUGGUCCAGGUGCACCAGUCCCAGACCCCCAGCUUCAGGGAGUGGCAAACCGAUAUACAGAACAAAAAGAUAGGGCUAUCAAGUACCAUGUAGGUACGGAAUGCGUAGGGCCUAUGGAGAUGCAUUUAUACUUUUAAUUAUGAUCAAUAAAGACACUUUUUAACUUAUACUUUGGCCCUGUGUGCCUAGUGCCAGAUAGCCCUAUCUUUUUGUUCCAUACAUUAGUUUAAAAGCAGCCUAAAUAAUUACAAAAUUGCUUAGAAUGAGAACUCUGAGCAAUUUUACAUUAAAUUGUAAAAUAGGGAUGUCUGCAUGCCUGCCCCAUGCCACCUCAUGUAUACAGUGCUGCCUAACACAGGAGAAGUUGUGUUUAUUGGAAAACCCCAGGAUAUUGCAUUCCAGCUUGAGCACAAGGACCUACACUCUUGGGUGCGCAUGGUGGCUUGUGCCAGUUUUUUGCACUUUGCACCUUUCUCCGACAUUUAUAAAUGAGCCCUCUAGUCUGCAUUAAACAGCUAUAAAUUCUGUUUUCUAAAAGAUUAAGGCAGCCAUUGUUGAAGAAGGCAUCUGAUUACACUGUACUGGAAUGCUCUGGACCUGGGGUUAUCUCUCUGUAAUUUGGAUCUGCAUACCUUAAAGGGGUUGUUCAACUUC